GAUGAACGCUGGCGGCGUGCCUAAUACAUGCAAGUCGAACGCUGGAGAUCUAGCUUGCUAGAUCGAAGGAGUGGCGAACGGGUGAGUAAUACAUAAGCAACCUACCCACGAAGACUGGGAUAAUCUCUGGAAACGGGGACUAAUACCGGAUAGGUAAUCGGAAGGCAUCUUCUGGUUAUUAAAGGUUAAAAACACUGGUGGAUGGGCUUAUGGCGCAUUAGUUAGUUGGUGAGGUAACGGCCCACCAAGACGAUGAUGCGUAGCCGGCCUGAGAGGGUGAACGGCCACAUUGGGACUGAGACACGGCCCAGACUCCUACGGGAGGCAGCAGUAGGGAAUUUUCGGCAAGGGGGGCAACCCUGACCGAGCAACGCCGCGUGAGUGAAGACGGCCUUCGGGUUGUAAAGCUCUGUUGUAAGGGAAGAACGGUAGAUAGAGAAUAUCUAAGUGACGGUACCUUACCAGAAAGCCACGGCUAACUACGUG
rnacentral:rRNA from 1 species